rnacentral:rRNA from 1 species
GCAAGCGUUGUUCGGAAUUACUGGGCGUAAAGCGAGUGUAGGUGGUUGUCGUAGUCAGGUGUGAAAGCCUUGAGCUCAACUCAAGAAAUGCACUUGAUACUGGGCAGCUAGAGGACUGGAGAGGAUAGUGGAAUUCCCAGUGUAGUGGUGAAAUACGUAGAGAUUGGGAAGAACACCAGUGGCGAAGGCGGCUAUCUGGACGGUUUCUGACACUAAGACUCGAAAGCGUGGGGAGCAAACAGG